rnacentral:rRNA from 1 species
CACGGAGGGGGCAAGCGUUGUUCGGAAUUACUGGGCGUAAAGGGCGCGUAGGCGGCCUGGUGCGUCAGGUGUGAAAGCCCCGGGCUCAACCUGGGAUGUGCACUUGAUACGGGCGGGCUGGAAUCCGGGAGAGGAUGGUGGAAUUCCCAGUGUAGAGGUGAAAUUCGUAGAUAUUGGGAAGAACACCGAUGGCGAAGGCAGCGAUCUGGACCGGCAUUGACGCUGAGGCGCGAAAGCGUGGGGAGCAAACAGG